AGGGCUGUGUGCCAAUCUGUAUGGCUUCUCUUUGAAUCCCAGGGCCUAGCCUGGCCCACCUCAAGCACUGUUUUUUAGGUGGCGUUGGGUGGCACCAUGAGGGAUUCCCAGCAGGGGGAGUCCAUAACGGCUGAGGAGACAUGACAGAAGACAGCCAGAGCAGGAAGCUGAGAGAUCACAUCUUCAACCACAAAGAGGAAGCAGAAAGAGGGAACUGGAAGUGGGACGAGACCUUGAACACUCAAAGCCCAGCGCGAGUGAGUAAUCACUUCCUACAGCAAGACUCGGCCUCCAAAAGAUCCUGCAACCUCCCUAAGCAGACCACCAACUAGGACCAAGUGUUCAGAUACAUGACACUAAUGAGGACAAUUCUCAUUCAAACCAUCGCACCAGUCACCAUCCAUCCAUUCGCCCACUCAUUCCUUCUUUAUUUACCUUCAUUCAUUCAUUUAUUUAUUCAAUUUGGUGAGUUGUCUGCGAUGUGUCCGGCACUGUUCAAGACAGUGAGGACAUCAGAGAGUGAAAGAGCAGCCUGAUGGCAUCCUCACUGACUGGGCCCAGCCUCCUCGUGCCCAGGCCUCACUCAGGCUCUCCCUCCCCCAAGCAUCCCCUCUGUCUUAGGUACUUAGUUCUGCUGUGAUGGGGAAGCACCAUCAUGGUGGGCAUGGCGCUGGGGGAGUGGCUGCGGACUCACAUCUUAUCCACAAGUUGCAGGCAGAGAGAAGGAGACUGAGCCUGCUGUGGGCUUCUGAAAGCUUACAGCCCUCCCUCAGUGGCACACUGCAUCCAGUGAGGCCACACCUACUCCAGCAAGGCACUUCCCAUCCUUCUCAAACAGUUUCUCUGACUGGGAACCAAGCAUUCAAACAUAUGAGCUGUGGAGACCGUUCUCAUUCAAGCCAGCACACCCUCCUCCCUUCACCUGUUCCUGCUUAGACCCCCCACUCCUCUGAGGUCAGCUCGUGUGUCCAGAGCCUUCCUUGGUGUCUUUCUCAGCACUCGACACCCUGGACUUCUCUUCACAGUCCCAAGGAGGCUCUCCGCUGUCUCCUCAGCCGGUGCUCUCAAUGUUAGCUUUUUUAAAUUUUUAAAAAAUAGUUCACCCAUUGUAUCUUUUGUGCGUGUGGACACGUGCAUGCCAUGGCAUACAUGUGUAGACCAGAGGAAAACUUGGGGAUGUCAGAUCAAACUCAGAACAUCAGGCUUGGUGGCCAGCUCCGUCACCCACUAAGCCGGCUUGUCUUCCUGGAAAGAACUGAUGAACUGUAUUACUUACUUUUCCACUAAGUCGAGUAGGAUGAAGGUGGCCAGCUCACUCUCUAUUUCCUGGUUCCCAUUCCUCACACCCAGUGGCAAUAACACCCAAGGUCCUCUAAUAUCCCAGAAGCAUAUAAAAUCAAGGCUCCAGAUUGAGACCCCAAAUAACUUUCAGAUUAACCCAGCCACUUCCCGUCUGUGAGGGUGGGUCUGGUACUUGCCUUCUAGGACCGUCCAUUUUCUCACUUGUCAAAUGCAGCUAAGGAUUAAACCAACAAGUAUAACCACUAGUUUUGACAACACUAAAUACUAACCGUGAAAGCAUCUCAGCUCUACCACUGAGCCCUAGUCCCUCACCAGGGAGUUCUAGGCAGGAGCACUACCACUGAGCACACCCUCAGCCCCUUACCUGAGGGUUACUAGACAGGUACUCUACUACUGAGCUACAUCCCCUGCCCUCACUGGGUAACUAGGCAGGCAGGACUCAGGAUAAUUUAAUUUAAUCUUCAAAAUGAUGUAGUAUCUGAUUUUGUAAUCAUCAGGGCUGGAAUAAAACUGUUAGUAAAGUG